AUUGAACGCUGGCGGCAGGCCUAAUACAUGCAAGUCGAGCGAGCGGAGGACGGGUGCGUAAUGGCUGGGAACCUGCCUGUUGGAUGGGGAUAACUACUGGAAACGGUAGCGAAUACCGUAUACCAUCAGAUGUGCGCAGACGGGAUUAGCUAGUAGGUGGGGUAACGGCUCACCUAGGCGACGAACCAUAGCUGGUCUGAGAGGAUGACCAGCCACACUGGAACUGAGACACGGUCCAGACUCCUACGGGAGGCAGCAGUGGGGAAUAUUGCACAAUGGGCGCAAGCCUGAUGCAGCAAUGCCGCGUGUGUGAAGAAGGCCUUCGGAUUGUAAAGCACUUUCAUCGGGGAGGCGUUACCCGCAGAAGAAGCACCGGCUAACUCCGUGCCAGCAGCCGCGGUAAUUC
rnacentral:rRNA from 1 species